rnacentral:misc_RNA from 1 species
GAUUAGAUAAAUAUCUGCAGGCUGCAUCACGUGCAGUAAACCAAACAUCAGACCCCAUUAAAUAGAAGAAGCCUCAAAUCUUUCAAUAUUAAUAUUAAAAAUUAGUUAAAGUAAGACGAUCCAUCGGCUAGCUUCUAGUCACAAUUACAGGAUAUGCUGCAAACAUGCUCAUGUCACUGAUUUUUUAUGAACCCACAAAAAGAACUGAACCACACACACCAAGUGAAUAAGAACAAUGUUAUAGACAAGACUAGUUUCAAUUCACACGCCGAUCAGCUAUAGCUACCAUUUUAUAUUCAAACAACUGACAUUCACUGCAUAAAUCAAGAAUCACAAGUACAAGCAAUUACAAACUACAGAAACAGGAAAGGAGCAAAGUAAAACUGCCGAAAGAAGUUUCAGGGACUGUUUGCAGCUUAGGGUCUUCACCGCAUGUUUAAACAUGCAUUCCUGGAGUCACACAGGUAUAGACCUGCAGUCUUCUCCCCAUAUAGUCAAAUGAGGAAAAGGUUUCCUGUCUUAGG